rnacentral:lncRNA from 1 species
CUUUCUUGGUGUUGCAUUUUCAAUGUCACAUAGUGUAUAAUAAACAACUGCUUGCUUAUGUUUGCUUUAUGCAGAAAACAUAAAAAAUAUUUCUUUUGGAAUUAAAGAUUCGACUCAUCCAUUGAGUUAUCACCAGCCAGAAACAUUCUUUUACAAUUGUUUAAUGUUAUAAAAUGAAGUGUUAAAUAUAAUUUAUUUUUAAUGACUGCAUUAGAUAGAACCAACAAAUCUUUGGAUAGUGUCGAUAAUAUAAAUUAACUGCAGGUCGUCUUUUGACUUAUGGCAGGGUUCAAUCCUGUUUUUGUAAGUCAUAAAUGCCAUAAAUUUAUGAGUUUUUCACUAAUAAUGUUUUCUAGGACACUAUCCAUUAUUUUCAUGAACAUAAAGAAUACAAAACUACAAGAAAAACAUACAAACAGAAGAGGCUCUAUAUCGACGAUUGGAUCAGGAACUCAACCCAAUUAUAUUACAUUGACCAUCAUAAGUAUGAGUCAUGUAAGCGAAGGAUUAUUUGUAUAAACAGAUGAAACAGUCUUUGUGCCAAAAAUUUACGAUUUAAUUAAAAUUAUUUCUGUAAGAGAUUCAGUUAUCAAUUUUACUGUCUCCUUUGUUUGCUAUAUUAAUACUAACAUAAAAUACUAUUGCU